rnacentral:lncRNA from 1 species
CUAAGAUUGUCGAAUUGACUCCCUUCGGAAGAAACCCAUACCUGAAAACUGAUUGAACAGCUAUGGUGAAAUCCUGUGCAACAAUGGGCCAAGAAGUUUUGAAAAACUCGCUGGGGAAUCCAUCCGGACCAAGAGAUUUAUUAGAUGGCAUAGCAAAUACAACUUUACGAAUCUCCUCUGCAGUAACCUAUGCUUCCAAAAGAGUACAAUCUUCUUCAAAACAACAAAACUCCAACAACUCCUUUAAUUCAUCAAUAGAUGCACCAGUAUAGUAAUCAGGAAUGCAGUUCAUAAAUUCUGAAAAGAAUCAAACUGCUUCUUCUUAUAUGUCCUUCUGCUGAGUAACAGUGCUCCCAGU